rnacentral:rRNA from 1 species
CCUACGGUGGGCAGCAGUAGGGAAUAUUGCUCAAUGGGGGAAACCCUGAAGCAGCAACGCCGCGUGAAUGACGAAGGCCUUCGGGUCGUAAAGUUCUUUCGACAGGGAAGAAAAUGCCUAUAAGUAACUGUGUAUGUAUUGACGGUACCUGUAUAAGCAGCCCCGGCUAACUCCGUGCCAGCAGCCGCGGUAAUACGGAGGGGGCGAGCGUUGUUCGGAGUGACUGGGCGUAAAGAGCACGUAGGCGGUGUUGUAAGUCAUUAGUCAAAGACUAGAGCUCAACUUUAGUAAGGCUAGUGAUACUAUAAUACUAGAGUAUCAGAGAGGAUUGCAGAAUUCCUGGUGUAGCGGUGAAAUGCGUAGAUAUCAGGAGGAAUACCGUUAGCGAAGGCGGCAAUCUGGCUGGAAACUGACGCUGAGGUGCGAAAGCGUGGGUAGCAAACAGGAUUAGAUACCCCAGUAGUC